rnacentral:rRNA from 1 species
UACGUAGGGUGCGAGCGUUGUCCGGAUUUAUUGGGCGUAAAGGGCUCGUAGGCGGCGUGUCGCGUCGGGAGUGAAAGCCCGUUGCUUAACGGCGGGUUGGCUUUCGGUACGGGCAUGCUGGAGUGCGGCAGGGGAGACUGGGAUUCCUGGUGUAGCGGUGGAAUGCGCAGAUAUCAGGAGGAACACCGGUGGCGAAGGCGGGUCUCUGGGCCGUUACUGACGCUGAGGAGCGAAAGCGUGGGGAGCGAACAGG